rnacentral:rRNA from 1 species
UUCCGGUUGAUCCUGCCGGAGGCCAUUGCUAUUGGGAUCCGAUUUAGCCAUGCUAGUCGUACGAGUUCAGACUCGUGGCGAAUAGCUCAGUAACACGUGGCCAAACUACCCUUCGGACCGCAAUACCCUCGGGAAACUGAGGCUAAUAGCGGACACCACACGCAGACUGGAAUGUCGCGUGUGUCAAACGCUCCGGCGCCGAAGGAUGUGGCUGCGGCCGAUUAGGUAGACGGUGGGGUAACGGCCCACCGUGCCAAUAAUCGGUACGGGUCAUGAGAGUGAGAACCCGGAGACGGAAUCUGAGACAAGAUUCCGGGCCCUACGGGGCGCAGCAGGCGCGAAACCUUUACACUGCACGCCAGUGCGAUAAGGGGAUCCCAAGUGCGUAGGCAUAGAGCCUACGCUUUUGUCCACCCUAGGGUGGUGGACGAAUAAGGGCUGGGCAAGACCGGUGCCAGCCGCCGCGGUAAUACCGGCAGCACAAGUGAUGGCCGAUAUUAUUGGGCCUAAAGCGUUCGUAGCCGGCCAGACAAGUCUGUUGGGAAAUCCACGCGCCCAGCGCGUGGGCGUCCAGCGGAAACUGUCUGGCUUGGGGCCGGAAGACUCGAGGGGUACGUCCGGGGUAGGAGUGAAAUCCCGUAAUCCUGGACGGACCACCGGUGGCGAAAGCGCCUCGAGAGGACGGACCCGACAGUGAGGGACGAAAGCCAGGGUCUCCAACCGGAUUAGAUACCCGGGUAGUC